ACCAUGUGGAUUAGAAAGUCCUGGAGCAGAUACAGGAGCAGGAAUGGGCUUGCAGCAGCACAGGCUGCUGAAAUAUCAAACUCUAACUAAAAGCAGAGAAUGAAACAGAAGUGAGGCACACAAAUGGCCUUAUUAGCUUUAAAAGUCUUACUCGCUUGCUUAAAGGUAAGUGGUUGCUUUGUCGCUAUGAUGCUUGAGGACCUCGAAGGGGAUGGCAGGCAGCUGUGGUGCCUUCUUCCUAGAAUCAACCAUAGAAUAGGUUGGAAACCAUAGGUUGGAAAAGACCUCUAAGAUCAUCUAGUCCACUGUGCCCUCUGACCAUGAACCUCAGUGCCACAUCUCCAUGGUUCUUAACACCUCCUAAUAUCAGGCUCUGGAGAGCAAGACAUUGUUUCUCAGAAGGGCUACCUGGUACAGCAGGAAGCAGAAUCCCCCCACUACUCCCCCCUGAAAAGUUGGCCUUUAUGAUCUUGAAAGUCUUUUCCAAUCUAGAUGAUUCUAUAAUUCUUGGAUUCUGUGUUAGCAAUUUGUAAAGUCUUGCUUGAGGUUUCCCUUACAGUUCCUGCCUGAACAUAACACGCUAUAUGGACUCCUCAUGAGCCUGUAGGCACUCUGUGUGGUACCACACAUAAGAACUGCUGCCUGAGCCCUGGGUUUUCUUUCUGGGAAGCAUGGACAGGUGAAGGAUGGGCAAUGGGAAUAGCAGCAUCCUCAAGUUGCAAAACUCAGUGUGAUCCCUGAACGAUGUGUGACCAUUCAGUUCUCCAGGUCUGGGGUUGGUUUUUACCCUGGGGUUGGAAGGAUGUAUAUACCGAAGAAGGGAUUUUCUAACCUGGAACAUUUUGGGGGUUUGGUCUUCAGGGACACACAGAAACCCCCAGCCGUCACCAGGGUGGAAAAAGGCACAGUGAUCCAUUCCUGACACUUUCGUGUUAUUGUCACAUCCAGAUGAGAUAAAGAAACACCGAGGAGUAUGAAAGCACUUCUGUUUUCCCUAAAAAAAAAAAAACCAAAAUGGCAAAGGGGGCCCAGCUUCUUCCUUCUGCCAAGAGCAGCUGAAGAAAGAGUUAUCACCCAGGGGUGAAGAAACCACCAAAGAGUGUUUCCAUUUCCCUCUCUCCUUAGAUGGAAGAUCAUAGCAUUCUCUAGAAAGUCCUGGAGCAACACAUGCCUCAUCCAAAAUCAACCAUCCUGAAUGGGAGCCUGGUGUCAGCGUCCAAGUCCAACAUCCAAUGUUGCAGUCCUUAAAUAAACGGAAUAUGAAAUGAAAUGAAUACAGGGAGCAGACAGGCAGCGUUCACUGUUUCCAGCACAUUUCCAGGGAGCAGUGUUCCCUCCCCGAAACUGAGGAGGAAUCCAAAGAAGACAGCAGGAAGAUGUUAAUAAAGUUUUUUU
ensembl:lncRNA